UGUGGUGUAGCUCAGUGAUAGAGCACAUGCCUAGCAUGCAUGAGGCCCUGAGUUCAAUCCCCAGUACUACAA
rnacentral:tRNA from 2 species